rnacentral:rRNA from 1 species
UUAGAGUUUGAUUCUGGCUCAGGAUGAACGCUAGCGAUAGGCUUAACACAUGCAAGUCGAGGGGCAGCGCAAAGAUUACCUUGCUAAUUUUGGCGGCGACCGGCGGAUGGGUGAGUAACACGUAUGCAACCUACCUUUAACACGGGCAUAACCCGGAGAAAUCCGGACUAAUUCCCGAUAAUACAGGGGCUCCGCAUGGAGAUAUUUGUUAAAGAUUUAUUGGUUAAAGAUGGGCAUGCGCUCCAUUAGUUAGUUGGUGAGGUAACGGCUCACCAAGGCAUCGAUGGAUAGGGGAACUGAGAGGUUUAUCCCCCACACUGGGACUGAGACACGGCCCAGACUCCUACGGGAGGCAGCAGUGAGGAAUAUUGGUCAAUGAGGGCAACCUUGAACCAGCCAAGUCGCGUGAAGGAUGACUGUCCUAAGGAUUGUAAACUUCUUUUAUAUGGGAAUAAUUGUAGCCACGUGUGGUUAUUUGCAUGUACCAUAUGAAUAAGGAUCGGCUAACUCCGUGCCAGCAGCCGCGGUAAUACGGAGGAUCCAAGCGUUAUCCGGAUUUAUUGGGUUUAAAGGGUGCGCAGGCGGGAGAUUAAGUCGGUGGUGAAAUUUUGCGGCUCAACCGUAAGAGUGCCAUCGAAACUGGUUUUCUUGAGUGUAGAUGAAGUAGGCGGAAUUUGUGGUGUAGCGGUGAAAUGCAUAGAUAUCACGAGGAACUCCAAUUGCGCAGGCAGCUUACUAAACUACUACUGACGCUCAUGCACGAAGGCGUGGGGAUCAAACAGGAUUAGAUACCCUGGUAGUCCACGCAG